rnacentral:lncRNA from 1 species
GGGAUGGAUGAGAGCAAAACGACGCGGCCAAGAAAGUAGGUGAGGAGAGAAGAUCUGAAAUGAAAAUUUUAAAAAUAUUUUAGGUAUAAAAAAGUAUAUAAUAAUAAAAUAUAAGUUGAACCGGCCGUCCCUAGAGCAAGUGGCAAAGGGCUUGGUGGUUGGUAUCCGGGAUCCAAGUUCGAAUCCUAGUUGACUCACAUUUCUAGCUAAGUUUAUUUCUAAAUAAAAUAAACGAAGCGGGUAACGUGAUACCUAUCUCUCAAAAAUAUAUAUAUAUAAGUUGAAUCUUAACGGAAUGGCGGGGUCCAAAAUAAAUAUUUUUUAUUUUUUAAGAAGGCAUAAGUAUAAAUUUUUAAUUGAUAGGAGGAAAAGUAAAAAGUAGCUAUUAAUGUAGGAUAUUUUUAUAAUUUCGCAAAAAAAAAAAAUCAUUGAAACUUCAACUUAACCUGAUUUUUUAGUACUAGGCGUCUACGGCCCGAUCGGUAAUCAUGGGCCAGAUCAAUCUCCAAUAAAGCUAACCCGGUCCAAUAAAAGGCCCAGCUCUGUGUUUUCAUUUUGGGGGUAAAAACAGACCUAAUUUAUUUGAACUAUAUUCUAUUUCUAAUUGGCUACACAAUUUUGAUUUUAUUAUCUCACCUUACAAUUUAUUUAAUUUAAAUCGGUCGAUAACACUUUAAUUAUAAAAUUUAAAUUAUGUGUUUAUUUUUAUAGAUUUAGUUAGUGCACUCCAUAUAAUUUUCAUAAAUAUAAAUUUAUUAAAAUAAAUAAUUUACUUAAAAUUUGAAGUCAAAAUAUUGCCGACCGGCUCAAAUCAAAUAAAUAAAUAGUAAAUUUUAAAUUUUAAAAGAUCAAAUAGACAAUUCAAAAUGGUCUUUAGUUCAGAUAAAUUUCCUAUGGCUUUUACUUCACCUGUCAUCUUUUUGGAUUUGAUCACCUAACCUUUAAAAAUUCUAAUUUAGUAUAUAAUUUUUUAAUUCAUUUCAUGUGGACUAAUUAGUAACAUUUUAACUUCAAAACUUGAAUACGUUAUUUAUUUUUACAGAACUAUUUAUGGACCUAGUUAGUAUAUUUUAUAUAAUUUAUGUAACUAUAAAUUUAUUCAAAUUAAAAUAAUUAAUUAAUUUAAGUUUUCUAUAUGCAAAGUCACCAAAUUAUUUAACUCAAAUAAAUUAAAAAAUUAAAAAUUAAAAUUAAAAUUGUGAAAGAUUGGACAGUAAAUUCAAAAUAAUAUGUAUAUUUUAUUUUAUUUUAUUUUUUAUUAAUUUUCUAGUUCGCUCGUUUACUCCUCGCCAUUUAUGAAUCUCAUUUCGAUCGACUUUUUAUUGAGUCGUCUCGCCCAACCCUGCGCUUCUCUCUCAUCCGAUCACCUCCUCACGGUAAAACCCUCUCUCUCUCUCUCUCUCUCUCUCUCUCUCUCUCUCUACCUUUGCAGGUACCCUACUCCCCGGAUGAAGACCAAAACCCUAAAGCGGAGCCGGAGCUCCGACGACGAGGUCGCCGAUCUCACUAAACCCUACUCUCUUCGCCGAUUCGAAACCCUGAAUCCCCGAUUCUCAUCGCCAUUCCCCUGCAGGAUCGGAGCAGGAGCAAGAAGCCCGCGAAGUCCAGCAAGCGGCGGCGGCGCCGCCGCGAUUCCGCCUCCUCCUCCGGCGACGACGACCGCCGCCGCCGCCGUAGGAGGAUCUCCGGCGGCCGCGACAAGAAUCCCGGCGACGGUCGCCGGAAAGAGCCGAAGAGGCCCGGUCGGAAGAGGGCCGCCCCCCGGCGGUCUCGGUAUUCUUCUCCUCCUCCUCCUCCUUCUUCUUCUUCUGUAAGUAGUUAUUCGAGUAGGAGUUGCUCCACAUGCCGUAGCCGGAGUGUUAGUUCGUCUCCCGAGAGGUAUCGGAGGGCGAAGGUUAGGCCGAGAAGUAGGUCUAGGGGUAGGGAGAAGGAGAAGAAGAGGGGUCGAAGCCGAAAAACCUCAAAGAGGUCGCCGAGCUGCUCAACUUGUUCAAGAAGCCCUAGCAGAACCCAUACUGAUGAGAGAAGAUACAAGGAAGAGAGUGAUCAGGCGAGAAGGAUUAGAUCGGAAUCAGGGGUAAAUGAUGCGAAGGAUGAGGAGAGGGAUAAGAUAAUUCAGGCUUACGACGAUUUCCCUUCCACGCAGAGUAAUGAGGGUUUUGAUGGGAAAAAGAGCGAGAAGGAGAUGGUAUCUAAAAAUAUUGAAACUGAGCCUACUGAGAAUGUUGAUGGUGUUGGUAUUGUUCUUGCUAGCGAAAAGAGCAAGAUCGCAGUUAGUUCUGAAAAUUUGGAGGCCGACGAUUUGGAGUUGGUAUUAAGACAGAAGGCAUUGGAGAAUUUCAAAAAGUUCCGAGGCGGGGUUCCUGCGCAAAGAUCGAGUGGAGAUCAUAAGGAUGUUGGCGUAGUAGUUGAUGCGAAAGAUGCUAAAAUUAGUUCCAUUGCUUCUUUUCAAAGGCAAGGAGGCAUUCAAGGUGGAAGUGGCCUGACUAGACCAAGAGUUAGAUCAGUAGUGAGCAUACCCACAGAGAACAAAGGUGGUGAUGGGGGUGUCUCGAUAAUAUGUCCCUGUGAUAAUAGUGAGAAUCUCGAACCUAUUGAUCAGACUAAUGAAGCUCCCGAUGCUUUAAAUCAAUUGAAGAGGCUUGAAGGGGACAACAAUCAAAUGCCUUCCGAGCAAACCACGGUGGCCAAAGAUCAAAUCCUUCAUAAUAAGACUGCUACUGCUGAGCAUGGGAGCAAUAUCGGCAAAACGCUUGAAGGGUCUGCUUCAGGCACAUCGGCAUCAGUUGUGACUAAGGUCGGAAACGAAGCUGUUGUGGAAGAUACAACUGGCUCUCAGUUUGAGCAGAAGACAUUUUCUAGAAUGCACGACGGAGAAAUGGUGCAGGUGAGUCACGGUUCUCCGUGUUGUUAAUAUGCUGCUUAUUUUCCCACAUCCUAAAUUGUGAUAUACUUGAUCUGUCAUGUAGGUGAGCUACAAGGUUUACAUACCGAAGAAAACCCCCGCAAUGGCGAGGAGGCAGCUGCAACGCUGAAGGAUUCAUAGGUAUCUUGCAUUUUGUUUGAGUUCUAUGUAGCUGUUGGUUUGUAGUUGAUUGGGAUACUCUUUUCGUUAUUUUGCAGAGUCACCGCUUCUUCAGUGAUUCAUUGAUGGUUAGCCAGUGUUACGAGCUCUGUGACUUUUCGCCACUCUAGAUGUGACUAAUGAUCUAUAUCCAUCAUUUUAUGCUAGCAUGAGGAGGCAUCAUACUCCUAAUUACCUAUACAGAGCUUGUUUAAUCCACUGGUUUGGCUGUUUGAGAAUUCUAACCAUAAUUCUGAGAACUGAUUGUCGCAAUGUGGUAUGGCUAGGAAUGGUUAUCUGAAUAUUGGAGAAAAAGCAAUCUACAUUUGUAUGAUCUCUUCUUCUUUUUUUUCAUCACCAAACCUCUUACAAAGACAAAAUUGUUGUUAGUUAGUAGAAUUUAGGUUGAUUCAGCUGUCCUGUGUUUUUCCGAAGUCGGUUUUAUUAUUAACUUUAAUAGGAUUUUCUUGUAUGUAGUUUGGCUUGUAUAUUGAAGUUUUAUCUAGUUUAGCUUCAUUAUGAAUCUAGGGUGCUCGUAAAUGCAUGAAUAACUUGUUUGGCACUUUGUUUUAUUUGCUUAAGAGAUAUGCAGAUCAUUUUUUGAAUUCAUUGUAUUUUCGCAACAACAUGAAUGCAUCAAUAUAACUCAAUAUUUCCUAUAUUAUUCUUCAAUUUAUAAACUUCAAGCUCCAAAGAGAAUAAUAAAUUCUUCUGUUAAAUGAACAUGUCACACCCACAUAAAAUUUCAUGAAGAAUCUGGAAACACAUGUACUGGAAAUACAUGAACAACACAAAGAAUGCAUGAUAACAGCUACUGAACUCUGGAGCUUCUUUUCCACCUUUUUCUCUCAACUUCUGUUGGAUAAAAAGGUAGGAUACAUCAUAAAGAAGUAAGAGUUCUUCUACACUUAAUGUUCUUCUCUUUUUGGAUUUCUGUUUUGUACCUUAAGAUGUAUACAACAUGACAAUAGCGUCGCGAAAAAUCAUCUCAUGUGGAGGGCAUGUCGCCUCCCCCUUCGACGGUCCACGCGAAGCUCCGGCGACUUUGGCUUUGUUACUUCCUUCAUCGACCUACGAAAGGAUUUGAUAGUGUAAGCUUUUAGGAGAAAACAAAUUCAAAAGAAAUAAAGUUUUGAUUGUUGGAGCGGUGCUUACUUUUGCGGACAAAAUGGAUUGUCAAACUUUGGAAGGGGCCUCGCGUGGGGCACCAUUGUCCUCCUCAUUUGUUUCAGGGCCUUUUCCUCUUCGAUCUAAACAAAUUUUUUUGGAGCGUUAUUUGUCAAGAAAAAGCACUACCACAACAGUUCACAACCAAGUUACAACUCGUGAAUGAAUCAGGAAGGGAAAGGAGAAUAAUUACCACUUUUGCAGAUUCUUGCUCUUCUCUCAAUCUUUUAUACACAAUCUCUUUCUCCUUAAUCUAUGAAGACGCAGAAAACCAUCAUUGAGAUUUUGAAGUUGAUUUAGAAAUAUAUAAACACGAUUAGUGCGACGGUGAUACAAUAUUUAUGCUGCAGCUGUGGUGUGUUAAUAGACUGUAAGCACGAAGUUCUUUGGGCACAAAGAGUAGAUAAAUUCACUAUCUAUUUUGUGCUCCACUUUUUGAUGCCUACGCUUGUGGGCAAAGACUAAGAAAAAACUUGACUAUUACUAGAAUGUCUAAAUAUGCCCGGUAUUCUAGCAACUUUCCCAAAACCCUAUGCAAAAAUGUUGAGUCUCCUAAACUAGAGAUUCAAAGUGUUAAAAUUUUGCUUAAAAGAAACACAAACAUUUCUCGAUUAGCCACUUUUUAAGUGCAAAAAAAAAAAAAAAGAGAAACGUAUGAUGAUUAUGCAGAUUGACAAACCUUCUUAUCGAAUUCUGAUCUCUGCAUGGACCUCUGAUCCACAUGGAGUACAAUUUCCUGAACUUCGGUAAGAGGUUUUCGCUCCUUUUCAGGAACUGGUAGAGGGUCCCUGAAACAAAAUAGCAUGAAAAUUUGUUUCAAUAUCAACUUCGUACAAUAAGAAGAAGAAAACAAGAGGAUUAAGUAGCAGCUCAAUUUUACUCUGUCAUGAUAGGUUGUGCUCUGAAAAUCCUCCUCUGCGCUUCUUCUCUCUCCAUCCUUUCCUUCUCUUCCAACAUCCUUUGCAUCUCCUCUUCAUGCCUCACUAAACUCUCCAGCUGAAAAGCCUCAGGUUUUGUACAUGGCUUAGGCUCGGGUUUCGGCGGUACCUUCAUACGAAAGGAUUCAUUAUAUGUGCAUCUACAAAUAUAUUGCUACAUAAUCAUCUCAUUUAUAUUUGACCAGAAUUUCAUACACAUCCCUUUGCCAUACACAUUUUUUGUAAGAAUAAGGAUAAUAACAUGUAGGAAAUUUUUUAAGGGCAUAUGUGAAAAUUCAGAUUAUGUGUGGAUAUGCUGCUAAAAUCUCUAAAGAAGUAUGAGGAAGAGUGUCAUGACAACUUGAAAGAUAUUCCUCCUUACCACUGGGUAGUCUGUAGUGUAUGGAUAUGGGUUAGCCCUAGGAAUUCUAGCUUUCUCUUCCUCCAAUUCCUUUUGAAAGAUCUGUAUAGUAAACUUCCUUUCCUUGUCAUGGCCUCUCUCCUAGAAGGAAUUGGAAACAACAGCAAGAUCAGUGUUUGUACUAAGCAUAAACAUAUUACUGUCGAAAGUACGGCUACAAAUCUUACACACCUCCGUAUGGAGGUGGAAAGGAUUAGGUAUUGUGAUUCUUGGGACUUCUCCUUUGCCAUGAAUGGAAGACGUUUCCGAGUGCAACGAAAGCUGAAAUAAGAAAAAUAAGUGAAUUUAGUUUUAAUUAGCCUUUUCUCUGAGGAAAGAAGUUGAAAUAAACUUCUGACUCCAAAGUGGGUGUAUAUAAGCUGUUAGUGCCUUUUCGAACAAUUGUAUAUAAACGAACUUUGGCAAAAACUCCAGCUGAACUAAACUGACCCCUAAAAAUAUAUAUGUAUAAUCUCUGUUUCGUACCUUGUCGAAGAGCUCGACAACUGAUGCAGGUUGUCCCAACCGAUCAUCCGUUGCAAAGUGGAACUCUUGGGGAGUGGUUAUUUGGGGCUUUGGAUGAGAGAAUAAACCGAUAUCUCCUUUGCUCUCAAGGAUCUGCAUUUAUUUUCCUUUUUGUGUAAACAAUUGCUGUUCAUAUUAUACCAAAAAUAGAUUCUAUGAUUAAAAAAAGUAAGACUUGGACCUUCUUGUUUAAUGGCCUAGCCUUAAACUUUGGAGCCUUUUCAAGUUCCUCCAAUUCCAACUCCUGAGAACUUUUCACCCUGUUUCUUAAUGUUGUUAGACAUUUAAACUAAGAGCUAAAUCCCCCAAGAAAUUUAUACUUAUUUCUAACUGCUAUGAACAGCUGCAUACUUUGGUGGUCGCGCUCGUAGUUCCGUUUGAAGUUGGGGAGGUCUUGGCUCAGUAAGUUUGAGGGGUUUGCUAUGAUUCUGCUGCACAAAAAGAAACUAAACUUCAAAUUUAGAACGUGGAAUCCCUUCGAAGAACAAAGAAUUCAACUUAAAAUUCAAAAGAUCGCAGUGCCUGAGAAGAAGCAUCUAGUGAGGAGACUGCUGAAGAGGUUUCUGCAUGCCGGAUCGCCCUCUCCAUUGUCCUCAAAUGGAAUUCCUAUUAGAGUUAAAAGAUACAAGCUGAUUACCUUUACACAAACCAGAAUAAUUUUGAAGGUCAAGUUUUUGUAAACGGAUUACCUGAAACUCAGGCGGUUGUGGGUUACUUCUCGGUAAUGCAGGGAGUGAAGGUGCUUCAAGAAUCUGCAGUAAAUAAAUGUUAUGCGAAGUUAAUUUGAAUUUUCUACCCCUCAAAAGUGCAAAUUCAUAUAAAAGUGUCCUUAGCUUAAGGGGGAGUCAUCAUCCAAUUCACAGGAGGAAGUUGGUUUGCACUAGAAAGUCUCUUCUAAAGGGAGCAUAUCUAAGUAGAAAAGCAUAUUCUUUUAAAAAAAUUAAGUCUUAAAAGCAUAUACGAAAGUUCGAUUUAUAGGGAUGUAUAUAUGUCUAAAUAGAUUGUAUGGCAAUGUUUGUAAAUGUCUCAGGAGUUUAAAGGUUGACCUUCUUGUUAAAAGGCCGGGCUUUGAACUUGGGAAUCUUUGCCAACAUCUCCUGCUCGAGCUCUUCGGAGCUCUUCACUCUAACUGCACGAACUCUAUGAGCGGUCUGAAGCUCGGGUUCCUUUGGCCUAGUCAGGAUUAGCCUAGGCCUUCGCUGAAUUACUGAAGCUGAAUCCUCCUAAGUAGAGAAUUAAUCAAAAGUACAAGGAUUAUUAUUUGUUAAGCUGCUUUUCUAAUAUAUAUUAGCUUCUGAAAUGCACUGUGUCAUUAAAAAAAGCUUUAAUAUAUUAUGGUUAGCAUUAAAAGGAAGAACCAUAUGCUUCAAUAUUACUGAGCUGAUUUUUCAGAAUGCUACAUGCAUCUAGAGGAACCAAAAAGCUUAACAUGCUAUAUCCUACCUCAAACCACUUGAGAAACUUAAAUGAAUUAAACAAACCUAAGGAAGAAUCCAUUAGUAAUAAGUAUGCCUAUAGGAAAACUCAGCCAAGAGGAGCAAGGAAAAAAAGGGGGUUGAAAAAUUUGAAAGUGGCAAUUGAUAAGAAGAUUGAGAAUAUUAAAAGAGAGAUGAAGAGUACAUGUGAAAGUGAUCUGUUCUGCGAGAGAUCCAACUCUCUAGUUCUUGAUUCAAACUUCUUAACCAUUUCCGCAGCGGAUAUAAAUGGCGUCACCUCCUGUUUCAUAUCAUAAGUCUUUGUAAAUAAAACUAACAUGUAGCAUUAAAAAACAGGUCAUGCAUUGCACAUUGCGAACAUAGAGAUAAGCUAUUCCAAGUACCUUAAAUUCCUUAUGACCUUUUGAAACAGAGGAUAACAUAUUUUUGCUGCCUAUUAAACCUGGCCUCAACUUGUGGGGCAGCACCCUAUUUUUCACAUCAAGUAUCUAAACGAAAAGCAUUGACAAGAUAUUAAUGAAAAUGAACAGUAUAACAGAUUCAAAUGGAAAUACCAAUACUAGCAAAGAUAAACAUAUGAGAAUGGGCUACCUGUCUAGCUUUUCCACAAUCCAGUUUUUGCCUCUUUAUUGCCUGAUUUUCAUGAGUAACAUCAGUUGCCAUUGUAAUCUUUCCAUUUAUGUAACUCCUGGGAUCAACAGAUAAAGAUUAUCUAAGAACUUUGAAGCAAUAAUAAGGUUUGAUGGUAUUACAUGAAUGUCAAAAUCAAACAACUCACUUGAUUCCACUCUUUGCUUUUGCGGUUUUGCAAGAUUGUGCAGGAGGUGACUUAACCUUCGGCUUUAGAGCAGAUGGUUGCUUAAACAUACUAGCAAUCUUCUUAGCCGUCAAGUUCGGUCCGUUAGCAGGAUUUCUUUGUGUUUUAGGAGUGCAAGAUUCGGCAACUUGGUUUUUCACACUAGGGGGUGCUACUCGUUUUGUCGAAGCCUUUUGUGUUUUGGGUGUCAAAGCUACAUUAUCUGCAAACAAGUAUAAACAGAAGUAGUAUUUUGGAGGAAAUUGUACUAACGAUUGGUCGAUAAAAGGGCAAAAUUGAGAGAAGAUCAUAUAAGCUCCAGAAAUUUGCAAUUAAUUACCUGGGAUUGUAUUCUCAUUUAAUGAAGGUUGGACAGGGAACUCAAAUGAAGGAACUUCUUCUUUACUCUCAUUAGCAUUCGGCGCAGAUGAGUUAAUACUAUCAACCAAAGAACUGUUUCCACACAAGUGGUCAGUUAAAUUUGUGCUCUAAGAGGGAAAAAUUGGAAUGAUAAUGGAAAUAACUUAGAUGGCAUUUAAAAACCUUGUCUCUUGCCGAGGGUGAGUGCCAUUCUCGCAAGGCUUAACCUAAAAUCCACCAAAAUCUCUUUGAGUAUAAGAUAAAACGGUAAGAUGCAAAUUGCACUACACAAAAGAUUAACUUUUGGGCUUACAAAAUCAAAGGAACUCUUCCUAUGCUGUGCUUCUUGCUGCUUUCCUUUGUUGAUUUCGACGGCUUUGUCGACACUGAAAAGAUAUGAAAUAGAGAAAAAUUUGGUGAGUACCAUGAUGCCAUUUAUAGAGGGAUUGUGUAUUUGUAUCCAAGAGAAUGUAAGAAUUAGUGCUUUUAAAAGAUCUAAUCACCUAGCAGUGUUCUCUUCUACAAUCAUUUGAUUAUCCUUUUCAUCACAAGUUUUUUCUGGGCCUGAUUCCUGCAAUUAACGAGCGGAAAAGGAAAUAUAAUCAAAUCAUAACACUAAAAACCCAAUGUUUUAUCUAAUUUUGCUGAAUCUUAGAAGAAAAAUAACCUUUCGAGUCGAAUCGGCUUCUCCAAAAUCACAAAUGGUGUCGAUUUUAACCGAUCUCCCCUCUUUAAUCCUCGGCAUGAAAGCUAAAUCAACAAAAGAGAAUUAACACAAUAAAACCCUAAACUUCACAAUUGAACGCCCCAUAAAUAUGAAUCAAAAACAACACCCCGAAAACAAGAAACUAGGGUUUCUUCCAACGCGAACAAUGGCAUAAAACAGAAGAAAAAAAAAAUGGGAGUAAAAAGAAGAGGCGAGAGAGCGAGGAUAAUACGCGAAGGAGCGUAGCUGAGAGAGGUCUCGAACCAGAACUCGGCUCUCCGGAUCUCCUCCUCGGUCUCCUCGUUGAUGAAAUCGAAGAACCUCGGCGCGGAGAACUCGUAGAUCUCGUCGAUUUGGAGGGUCUCCACGUGCCCCCCCCCUCCUCCUCCUCCUCCUACUUUCGAAUCCAACGCCAUGGAUGUGCGUAGGUAAGCUUCCUAGGGUUCGGGUUUUCGGGAGAGGGAGAGGGAGACGAAGAGCUGUUGCUGUUUCUUCUUAGGGUUUCUUUUCUCUUCGAUCUUUCGCUUCGGAUCGUGUAUGGUAAGUGCGAGGGGUUUGGAGGGGGGAGGAAAGAAAUGAACGUUGCAAUUUGCAACGGUCGAGAAAUUUGAACUUCAUAUGAAAACACCAAGUCGACGAAUUAUCUGAAGCCCAGCUCCACGUCAGCGGUUGUAAUAAUUACCGACACGUGAUAUCCGACCAAUCGUGUGAGGAGAUUCGGACGUGGCUUGAACUUUUCGCGUUGUGAUAGAGCACUGCUCGGUCGCAUUAACGGCUAGUUGCUGUGGUGGGCCCCACUAGAAUUUCCGCGGCGGAAUAAGGACCGCGGAAUUGGACCGUUGUCAACGGGAUGAUAGUUUUCGACCGUCGGAUCCUCCUCUCAACGAAUCUGAACCGUUCGACGCGUUUCCGGGAGUCGAUCGUGGAUAAUGUCGCAUUGUUUGAUUAAGAAUUCGAGUUUGCUUAUUAUUAUUACUACUUACAUUUUAAAGGCAGAUUUUUUUUUUUUUUUUUGAAUCAAGUGUGGAAAGGUUAAUUUUAGACAUGAAUUAGAGAUAAUCUAAUAUAGGUUUUGAGAAAAAGUUAGAAAAAAGAAAUAGCACGAUGUAAAUUUAUGGGAUAACAACACAAAUAUAGGGACCAAGGAACAAUGAAUUACUUUUGAGAGGCCUAAGAGUAUGCGUUUUUGCGAUACAGUACUCAUAUUAGUUAAUUCGCGAAUUAUUCGUGAAUUAUUGAAAAUUUGAAUUAAACGGUCCGUUUACAAAUUUUUUUCAAAGAAAGAAAAUUAUUUGCGAAUUUUUGGACCUGCUGAAUUAUUCGCGAAUUAUUCCCGAAUUAUUAAAAAUAUGAAUAAAAAACUUAUAAUUUUUAUUUUUAAAUAUAAAUAAUCUUAUAUUUUAUAUUAUAUAUUAUAUAUUUUAAAUUAACUAACUAUGCUCAUAACUUCGCAGAUUUUGUGAUAGUGUUUAUUUAGAGAGAUUGCCGAAGUCAAUGUUUGAGUGGAAUCACUUUUAAGAACUCCCUAUGUAGACUUACAUAGAGUGGGGAGUUUAUUUUGCUGCAGUUUUUAGUUCCCAACUACAUCCUACUAUGAUUAUAAAUACAAAUUGUGAAGUGUUUUAAUCUUUAGAAGCAUCAAAAUGCCAUGCAUGUGCUUUCAAGGUGGAUGCAUGAUCAUAUGCCUACUUCACCAAACUUAUGUACUAUUUUUUUUAAAAAAAAUUCGAGUUUUUUAAAGCAUUUAAGACUCAUGAAUGGGUGGAUUUUCCUUUCCCCUUUCAUUUUUUAAUGCUCCAAUUGAAAGAAGACCUUUUUGAGCCUUAUCAAUAUCAUUUAAAUUUUAAUAUUUUUGGCAAUUAUCACUAAUUUCGGGUUAUCAGUGUUAUUUAGAUAUGAAAGCAGUAAAUAGUUAAAUAGAAGUGCAUGUGUGUGAGAAAAAAAUUUAGAAUGCAUCAGUUAUAUUACUGAUGUGGCAUCUCUAACCAAUCAGACUUUUUUUUUUUUGGGUUCACUAAUUCCGUCAUGAUUAUUAAAAAAAUAUUUUUACUGUACUUUGUACUCAAAAGAUAAAAUAUGAUUGGCUGGAAAUAGAUGAUGUGAUAUAACUGUUAUAAUGUAGAUUUUCUCAUGUGUGAGGGAGAGAGAGAGAGUGAGAGAGAGAUACACAAGAGAGAGUGAGAGAGAUUUUUUCCUAAUGAGAAAAGUUAGAGAUAUCUUUUCUCUGGUGACAUCUUUUCCCCGGUAAAAAGAAAUUAAGAUAUGCACAUGCUAGACAAAAAAGGAUGGUUGAGACGGAGGGGCGCAUACUUGUGUGGUAGAGAGAGAAAUCUUUUCUCUGGUGAAAAAUUUGAGAUGCGGAGAGGGCACGGACCUCCUGCCACAUUUGUUUUGCAGGUCAGAGAAAAUUAAAUUUUAUUCUAUUUUUUACUUUUAUUUUCUGUUUCAUUUAGAAAGAAGGGACCAAAACAGAAACAAAAUUUUGAUAAAAUUUUACCAAAUUGGGACAGAUCAAAAAAAAAAAAAAAAUCUUCUAUCUUCUGCUCUUUUUUCGGAAGGAUGGAAAAUUAUUGAUCGCAGAUCGGAGAGAUCUACCAAUCCGGAUCCAUUUGCAUCCAAGAUGAGAUAGAGGUGGGAACUUCAAAGAAAAGAGGAGGGAAAUGUGUAAACUAACUACAGAAACUACAAAACUGCAGUUACUUUAUAUAUAUAUAAAAAAAAAAAAAAAAAAAAAAAACNCCCAGAGUAUUUAACUUAAUUCACAACUCCCGUGCAUGAAAAAUCCCUAUUGUACUACUCCAUGAAACAAUGAGAGCACAGGCUAUUUUAUUCAGCUAAGGGAAAUAAAACAACAAGCACAAUUUAGAUUUGAAAACAACUGCCGUCCAAAAAGCAAACGACAAUCACAAUUUAAAUGAUGCGGCUCGAGACUAAACAAUUGACAUAAGAAAGACAAAAUUCGGCUUCCCCUUAGAAAGGAAGCAAAAUGUCUAAAAGGUAUUUCAAAGUAAAUUUAAAUAACCCAGUGCUUUAGACAAAGUUUAUAAUCCCCCUCCUCCGAGAAGGAUGAAAACGCAACUAAAUCAUACUCAAUAGUAAUAAACCUCCGCAAGCGCGCUACAGCAACAAAAAAGGCGUUCAUUGUCGUCAAUUAUUCAAAAGCAUGAACUUAAAAAAGCAAAUGCAAGCAUCUAAAUCCAUGUUCUUCAUCGUCAUCAUCUGUGUUAAUUACCCUUAGCCGCCGCCGCCAGAUCCAUACUUCUUGCCGAAAACGAUCACCUGGAGCUUAUCGUACCCGGCGAGAACACCAGCACCCGCGACUGCACGGAGAAUGUUGGCGCCAGCGCCCUUGAAGAGGGAUUUCGCGCCCUCGUUCUUGAUGAUCUGUUGGAAGGCAUCCAGCGAGCUGCGGUAUUUGACCGCCUCACCGGAUGUCAUCAUCAUCCUCCUACGAACAGUGUCGAUGGGAUAGGAGGCAAGGCCGGCGCCGAUGGUGAUGCCCCAUCCGAGAAGGAAACUCGCGAAGAAAUUGUCCUGUGCAAAACAGUUGUUUACUUAAAUGCUAAUUGUUAAAUUGUUAAAAAGGAUAGGUUGGGCUUCAUGUCCGAAGAAAACAAUGGAAGGACCAGACUUAUGCUUGGUUAACUGACCUGCAAGGGACCAACCAGAACCACGGGCUUGAGAGAAUCGUACAUCCCGAAGUAAAGCCCUCGGUAAACAAUAAUACCAACACACGAGAUGUUGAAUCCACGGUAAAGACCGGCAAGGCCAUCGGACUUGAGGGUCUUCUUAUAGACAUCGAUGAGGCCGUUGAACUGUCUCUCGCCGCCCUUCUUGGCGGCCUUGGCAUCAUUGGCCAAACGGGUACGGGCGUAGUCCAAAGAGUACACAAAGAGGAGAGACGAAGCACCAGCUGCACCUCCAGAUGCCAAGUUACCGGCAAACCAUUUCCAGUAACCGUCUCUAUCCUUCUUGAAGUUGAAAAGGCUCUUGAAGUAGUCUUUAAAAGCGAAGUUCAGGGCCUGAAUGAAACAUAACCAAAAUGUUAAUACUUGAAUUCUAGAAGAGUUGCAUAUAGCCAAAUAUGGAUUCGUUACAAGUUUUGAUCCUGAAGUUUGAGCUCGAGUUCAGUUACAUCAACAAUAUUUCAGCUUUUACAAUCUCUCACAGUUUGUUCCACAUACCAGUUAAGCCCAUUGUUAGUCUACCAUCAAAAGAGAUUAAUGCCUCAUCAGAAUAACCAUAAACUUUUGCUGUCAGGUCCAACCUAAAGAAGUUGCCAUGACGGCAAACUCUAACAAUCAUGCUAAUAAUGGCAUCUUUCUCGGGCGACAGAUCAACAGAGAGUUUGAUCAGUGCAUGGGAUGCAGAUCAACAGAAGACUUUAGUUGGUAGAUAGGAUGAAGAUCAACAAGAUAAGAGGACAUAAUUAUAAUCAGGCCAAACUCUAAAGAUUUCAAUUACAUAGGUUUUUCAACUUCAACAAACGAGACCCCAAAAGUUUGCUCCACUUGACAAUUAAGUUCUUUUGUUAGUCUACCGUCUAAAAUUGCUAUCUUAGCAUCAGCAAUUAAUCAUGCUAAUACAGUAUCCUUUUUCAAAUGAUAGGUUAAUAGAAGGAAUUAAUUGUGACAGAGACGAACUCCAGGAAUCUAAAUGCUAACAUGAAGCUCUGAGGUGUGAUUUCAAUAAUGGUCAAAUUUUAAGGACUAAUUCAUAAUUAACCAAAACAAAGGAAACAAAGGAAAGAUAUUAGGACCUGAGUGGGGAAGUAGCGAAUGACGUUUGCAGUGUUUCCUCUCCACAAUGCAAGAAUGCCUUCAUCCUUCAUGGUUCGGGCAAAGCAGUCCCCAAUUCCCUUGUAGGGCUCAGAGAGCCUACCGCUCUUAAUCAUCUCAUCCUGGUUCUGAAUUAGGAGCUUCACACGCUCAAUGGGAGCUGCAGCUGUUUUGGAGACGGCGGCAGAGACACCUCCCAUGAGAAAGUCGAUCAGAAACCCAUAGGGGCCCUUCUCUGAAGGAGCAUUAGCAAAGACAGGUGAAAGCGUGGAGAUAGAUGAGAGCCCAAUAGGCCCAUUAAUGCCAUGGUAUGACCUCAGCACAGGGCCCUGCAGGCUCCCAUUCAAGUAAGUGGCUCUGUGGAUGCCAGGAUUUGUGCGGGCUACUGAACAGGGAGAGAGUUUAGUGAACAAGGUUGAUUGGCCGUGAAUCUUCUGUACGACGGAAGGAGGGCGCAGUUCUUCCGCCAUUUUAGCAAGUCACCAAGCUGACCUGCUUCAUAACAAUAGUAAGGACAUCUAUAUGCAAAAGUACAACGAAGACAACAAAAAAGCAGCAUAUAAAUUCACUAAUAGUGUGUUUGCAAUAACAUUUCUGAAGAAGAGAAAGAGCUAAGAAGCCACUUCGUUGGUAAAAGUAGAAUGAACUUACACAAGCUUAUUCUUAUUAACAGAAAAGGCCAACAGAACAUCUUCAAGUGUUUUAGCAUAUAGUUAGUUCUAUGUGGCACAUACACUCCACAUCCUUGCCAUAUAAUGCAACACAGAGAAUAACAGCUAUUCGAGCAGGGUUUGGGGGUUCAACCAAAGCAAUUCAUAGAUUAUAGAUCUAUUACAAUACUUCUUCAUUUUCUAAACAUUCUCAAUUCUUUUUUCUGAAGGUCUAGAAAAUGAAAGUUCACUCUUAUGGAUUUCACGGAGAUCAUAGAAUCAGAUAUUGAAUAGCAGAUACUCUAUAUUGUUACAUUCAGAUCCUCAAAGAUAUCAUAUUUUAGAAAGGUUGUUGAUCUGAUCAAAUCUGUCACACGUGUGCAUUCAGUACUCAGGAAUUUGGUAGCCCUUUCAUUUUCCUAUUAAGGGUCAAGCAAAGGUACUCAAUUCAUAAUUUCAGAUUGAAGAUGACAUCAAAUCUUUCCUACAAAUACAUAUGUAACUAUUACUUAUCCAUUUAAGGGGGAUUCUUGGGAAAUGGUUAGUUUAAAUACACCUCUAUAAUGUUCCAGAAACUACUAAGUUCCUUGCGAAUCUCCACCUUCACUGGACAAGCUAUCAAAAGCUAACAUAGACUAAAAAAAAUAAAAUAUUUGCUAGGUUGACCAAUUUUAAAAUCAUAAGAAAAAAUAUUCCAUCCCAACACCUAAAAAGGACAAUAAUUGUUAAACGAAUAAGAUCUGACCCUAUCUAAGCAUAAUUUUCAAACCAGCAAACAAAAAAGCCACUGAUAAGGGCUUAUUCAACAUGUGAAAGAGAACAUAUGAACAAUAACCACGAAGUAAGAGUAAGGCGCCGAUCAAAGAAUCUACAACAAUUAGCACAGAAAACAACAAAUUACAUGCACAAAGCCUAAUUCACAACAAACCAUCCGCUAAAAUCGACUUCAAUCUAACGAAAUCGUGCCAAAACAACCGAAAAAAAAGCAGAUCUGAACAGCAGAAUCCCCCAAAACCAUCAUUUAAACAGAUCUGAAACGUCCACACAGAUCUAUGAACAGCAUAACUCCCGAUCGAUCACGAAACGCAGAUCGGGUAUCAAAGAACACGAAGAGAUCUAUAGAUCGAACCCUGGGAGCUGAAGCAAGGAUCGAUUUGACGCGAAUCGAUCAAGAUCUACACAGCAAAGAGGCGACGGAUCGAAGGGGAAAGAGAUCGAAGAGAGGUUACCUCGUGGGGGAGGCCGAGGAGGUGAGGGACGAGAGCCGCCACCCUCCGAACUAAUCUCUCUCUCUCUCUCUCUCCGUGUCGGCCAAUUGCGAAUGGAGAUGAGAUAUUUAUAGUCGGGGAGAGAGAGGAGAGAGAGAGAGUGGAGUGGACAAACCCUACUUGGGGUUCCAUUUCUCCGGAACGGGUUGAAUUGUCGACUUUGCCCUCGCCAUAUUUUACUUUUCUUUUUUUUAUUUUUUUUUAUUUUAUGGAUUGGAGGAGAAAUAAUUGGAUAAUGUUUCUCACACAGAUAGACACUGAGACACAUCAGGCUCCUUGUUUUGGGUGUAACGGAAUGUUUGAACUGUAACACUUUCGUUAUUUAAAAUGCGCAAAAUUUAUUAAAUUAUUCCGAACUUCAUUUCUUGAAAUUUUUAAUUUGUUUGUGGUAGCAAGCUAAAGUCACGAGUUCUAGGAGAGUAAAUUCUCACCUCAGAAUUAUCAAAAUACGACAUAUAAAUUUUUUUACAAACUUUGGUUGUGCAUCUAAAGUUGAAAUGAUCUUAUGUGUAGCACAUUAUUGUGCCCUUCAAUAAGGUAGUAUACUUUCACUUUCUUUUUCUUUUUUUUUUAAGUUGAGAGAUUUUAGGAGUAUGGCGUAGAUGAAUGGGUGCACCGGGAGCAGCCAAUAUUUUUAUGUAGGGCUGUUCUAACGAUUUUGUAGAAAAUAGUUGGGCUAAAAUGGACCGGGCCUAAAAAUUUAUUUUUUUUUACUUCGCUAGAGACGGCCCACUCCUGACCCAUUUCCAUUUUUCAAGAAAACAAGCGUUUCCAAAAGGCAUGACAACAAUAACAAAAAAUGGCUUCUCGAUAACGCACUGAAACAACAUAUAUGUUGGUUUUAUGAACUAGGUGGUUGGUACCCGAGACCCAAGUUCGAAUCCUAGUUGAUUCACAUUUUCAGCUAAGUUUAUUUCUAAAUGAAAUAAAUGAAGCAGGUAGCGUGCUACCUAUCUCUCAAAAAAAACAUUUGGUGCUAUUAGAUUUCGACCUUUGGACGAAGAGAUGUGUAGUUAGAAUGAUAGUAAUCCUCUACGAUUGAGUGGGUGAUUGAUUAAAUAGUAUGAUUUAACAGGUGAAAUGAUUAAAAUGAUAGAUCUAACGACAGAACACUCGAUAGCACCAAACGUUUGAUACUAUCGGUAAUAUAGUAGCCGAACUCUAGGUUUUAUAUAUAUAGUUGUUGUGAAUAUAAAAUUAUAAGGGGAA